CGCAGAGUAGAGCAGCGGUAGCUCGCCAGGCUCAUUACCUGGAGGUCACUGGUUCGAUUCCAGUCUCUGCAA
rnacentral:tRNA from 2 species